rnacentral:rRNA from 2 species
CGGGCGUCUUAACAUGCAAGUCGAACGAUUAAAGCACCUUCGGGUGUGUAUAAAGUGGCGAACGGCUGAGUAACACGUGGGCAACCUGCCCCUUUCAUUGGGAUAGCCACGGGAAACCGUGGAUAAUACCGAAUACUUCGAGACUUCCGCAUGGAAGGCUCGAGAAAGCUCCGGCGGAGAGGGAUGGGCCCGCGGCCUGUUAGCUUGUUGGUGGGAUAACGGCCUACCAAGGCAAUGAUGGGUAGCUGGGUUGAGAGACCGACCAGCCAGAUUGGGACUGAGACACGGCCCAGACUCCUACGGGAGGCAGCAGUGGGGAAUCUUGCACAAUGGGCGAAAGCCUGAUGCAGCGACGCCGCGUGCGGGAUGAAGGCCUUCGGGUUGUAAACCGCUUUCAGCAGGGACGAGGCGAAAGUGACGGUACCUGCAGAAGAAGCCCAG